CUACUAUCCUGGGCCUACUAAU
rnacentral:siRNA from 1 species